UGGGGAAUAUUGGGCAAUGGGCGAAAGCCUGACCCAGCCACGCCGCGUGAGUGAUGAAGGCCUUCGGGUCGUAAAGCUCUGUGGGGAGGGACGAACAAGCCUGGGGCUAAUCACCCGGGACCUGACGGUACCUCCUUAGCAAGCACCGGCUAACCCUGUGCCAGCAGCCGCGGUAAUACAGGGGGUGCAAACGUUGCUCGGAAUCAUUGGGCGUAAAGCGCACGUAGGCGGUCUGUUAUGUCGGAUGUGAAAGCCCUUGGCUCAACUGAGGAAGUGCAUCCGAAACUGGCAGGCUAGAGUACUAAAGAGGAUCGCGGAAUUCCCGGUGUAGAGGUGAAAUUCGUAGAUAUCGGGAGGAACACCGGUGGCGAAGGCGGCGAUCUGGGUAGAUACUGACGCUGAGGUGCGAAAGCGUGGGGAGCAAACA
rnacentral:rRNA from 1 species